CUUCUCCCUUAAGCAUAUGAGAAGGAUUUUUCUUAAAAUGAUAAAAACAAAUUACUUCGAACGGUGCAUAACAACAGAAACAUAAACAACAACCCAAUUGUUACAAGUCUGGCUGUGAGUUACAAAGUUGUCACAAACUUCGCCUUCAUUACCGUCUUCAAUAAUGGCAGUUGAGUGUUGAUCAUCCUUGUGAAUGAAUAAUCCACUGCGAAAAACUGG
rnacentral:lncRNA from 1 species